AACGAACGUUGGCGGCGUGGAUUAGGCAUGCAAGUCGAACGAAUCCCGGUAGCAAUACCGGGGGAAGUGGCGAAAGGGGCAGUAAGGCAUGGGUAACCUACCCCGGGGAUCGGGAUAGCCUUCCUAACGGAAGGGUAAUACCGGGCGAUGUAGCGUGUUCGCAUGGACGUGCUACGAAAUGAAUUUCGCCUCGGGAGGGGCCCAUGUGAUAUUAGCUAGUUGGUGGGGUAACGGCUCACCAAGGCCAAGAUGUCUAGCGGGUGUGAGAGCACGACCCGCGCCACUGGCACUGUGACACUGGCCAGACUCCUACGGGAGGCAG
rnacentral:rRNA from 1 species